CCAUGCCCCCAUCUCUCGGAACCCCUUCAUCCCGAUCGCAUCUUUCUCCUUGGAAAAAUUGCCAUCGCGCGCCCACCAUCCUGUGCACGCCAUUUCGUCGGUCUAGAUCCUGAUCCAUCGCGAGGAGCCAUUCCUCAAACUGCAGCGCCACGGCCGAGCCAUCUCACAAGGAGGCAAGACGCCGUCUCACCUCCUCGCCUUGCUGCGGCCAUCCAGGACGCGCCGCCCCCGCUGCUGAGCCAUCUCACCUGGCACCGCCGUCCCCAAGCAGGCAAGCUGCCGUCUCACCUCCUUCGUCCCGGACGCACUGCCGCCACAAUCGGCCCAUCUCACUUCGCAUCGUCAUCGCCAAACAGGCAAGCCGUCGUCUCACCUCCACCCUCGUCUCUAUUGUGGGCGGCCCCGCCCCUGUACAGCAGCAGACGAAGCGGGCGUGCAGGCUGGAGUUGGAGGCUGCACUGCUGUGUUUGCCGGUAGGAAGCACGGGAGGCGGGUGGCCAUGGAGAACGGCCACACUGUUCAAGCGCCGGACUCUGCUGUCGACCUCCUCAUCUUCAAGCCCCACCCCGAGCUCGACCCUCCACAGCCAUCUCGUUCUAUGUUCAAGCACCGCCUGGAUAUCAUUUUCUCCUCCCUACAGCCAGCUCCCCCCUGAUCUCCUGCGCAACAUGCUGCUCCAUGCAUUGGCAGCUAUAAAAGCCCUAGCGAUGGAUUCGAACACCGGCAGCCAUGUGAGCGCCCAUAGCUGUGGACGUGGACGCUUGCGGCGAGAGACGCAGAGCAGGAGCACACUGCUUGCCCUUUAUUGAGUUAACCAUGGUGACAGCUCCGGUGGUGUCAUCCUCCCUAGAUCUGCAUGGCAAUGGUGUCAUCAAUUGUAGUGAUAGAUGUAUUGACACUAAUUGUUUUGCAAAUGGGGAGGAUAUAGGUUGUAAAAGAGCCUUUAUUUUGUUCUUCUUAUCUAGGACAGGAGAAGUUAAUUCUCACUUGUUUAACUUACUGGUUCAUAUUUCCAUUAGGCAAAGUGGCUUGAAAAUAGACUGCCUUUACUCUUUCUAUGAGACAUAGGGCCGCAAAUUAAAACAAAAAAGAGGAUCCAGCCAAUUUAUUUUUCAUUUUUUCUUUGAGAUAAUAAUAUCCUACAUGCUCUACUGGGUCAUCUUCACACUACAGGUUGUUUCAGCUAAUGGUUAUCACUGAGGUCCUGCUGCUAGCUAUGCAAUCCAAUGAUGGUCAGAUACGAAAUGUUGUAGAAUGAAAUAUCCAACACUUUGAGGAGUAGAGUUUUUCAGUUUAUGCAAGCACUUCAUCUUCUUCAUUAGAGACCCUAAAGGUCCACUCGCAUAGGCUACAUUCAGCAGUUCCCAUGUGUGCACUUGCAUACAUGUGUAUGCAGUGCUAAUUUUUUAUCAGAUUGGCAGAGGCUUCAGGAUAUACAUAUGCGUCUUUCCACCUAAAUGUUCUCAUGCUUGGAACAUGAACUACUGAAGUUUAUGAAAAUUUUGUAUGUGAAGACUCAGGCUGGAGUGUAGUGUUAAACAUUGGAGUGAGAGGAGAGUAUAAGGGCAAAGAUGGAUCAGGAGCCUGGCCAGAUGGUUUGUGACCCAGCUAAGGCACGUACAAAAGAUUGCAUUGGAAUGUGGUGCUAGCUUAGGUGAUCUGCUUUUUGAGGAUAAAUUUCCAUGUGGGUUUGAGGGAUUAAUUUAAUAAUAAAGAUUUGUAGGGAUCUAUUGUGAUCAUGACUGCAUUGUGGAUACCAUAGCAAACAACUUGUGAGAUUCAGGAAUUGUCAUUAGGUUUGAUCUAAUUGGUUGUUGUACCAAACAAUUCAUGUUGUUUAAUCCUUUUCAAUUCUUGUGGCAUA